rnacentral:rRNA from 1 species
AACGUAGGUGACGAGCGUUAUCCGGAUUUACUGGGCGUAAAGAGCUUGUAGGUGGCUCUGUAAGUUGGGUGUGAAAGCCCCGGGCUUAACUCGGGGAGGUUACUCAAUACUGCAGGGCUUGAGGAUGUCAGAGGGAAGUGGAAUUCCUGGUGUAGCAGUGAAAUGCGUAGAUAUCAGGAGGAACACCCGUGGCGAAGGCGGCUUCCUGGGGCACUCCUGACACUGAGAAGCGAAAGCUAGGGGAGCGAACGGGAUUAGAAACCCCGGUAGUCCUAGCUGUAAACGAUGGAUGCUAGGUGUUGGCAGAUCUAACCCUGUCAGUGCCAAAGCUAACGCGUUAAGCAUCCCGCCUGGGAACUACGAGCGCAAGCUUA